rnacentral:lncRNA from 1 species
AAUUCUGUGCAUGUUUGCUCACUAUUGAACCCUGGAGUCUACUACUCAAAUAUUUGUCAAAUGAGUAAACGGUAGCUCUGUGCAGGGCCAAGGAACACAAGAAACAUGCAAUCUGCCAAAAUACUUAUUACAGCUCACUCUCCUCUGGUGACAUUUCCCUGAGGCACAUUCCUGUUGGUUUCUUCCCCUCAAGAAGCAUUCUUCUUUCUCCUUCCUAUAAAAGCCAGGAUUUUCUCAGAUAGCCACACCAUGCCCCAUGCAAAGAGAUCUGGAUUAUUCUACCAUCUUGAGGCAUUUCUGUGGAAACUGCUAUCAGUCCAAGUGGCCCAUGACCUAAGCUGACCCAAGCCAACUGAAGGGAGGACGUAUUCUAUGCAUGCUGUGCAGUUCCACAGGGUGCUGGUUGUCCCAGCUGCUGCUGGUGGUCUUCAUGUAGCCAAGGUACCACUAGUGCAUAUGGAGAAAACA